CUAAAUACUCUGAAUGCUUCAGAGAUGAUGAUUUUAUUAUAUUUCUCAAAGCUCUAUUUCUUAACUAAUCUGAAUUCUAACUCUAGAUCACUAAUUCUAACUCAUAACUACUUUUCAGGUGUUUGAAGAGCUCUGAAUAUUGAAAUAUAACAACUGAUUAAUAAUAUAUACUAAGAAUGUAUAAAAGAUGUUUAGUAUGUAUAGAUUUUAGUGAGAGAGUGAAGAACUGAGCAUGGUUUGUUUUUCAGACUCACUUUUUUUUAAACCACAUUCAACUUUUUAUUAAUCAUGUAACCCAUUCCAGGGCCAUCAACAACAUGUGCUUCACAAUGAUAAUAAUAGCGGGUUUGGCUGGUACUCUGUACAUGGACGGUGGCAUCCGCUAGUUAACGUCCUUAUUGUAUCUUUCCGCACACUUUCUCCGUUUCAUAUAAUACAGAGGUAUUGAUAGUCGUUUGUACCAGCAGAUUACAGAGUGCUGGGGAGGAACUUCAGAGAAGAGAACGUAAGGCGUGCUGUUGGAUCAUUGACAUCGGGGGGAAUAUGGUGUUUGACUUCUCUCUUUUCAUCUGCUUUUCGUUGUAUUCUUUUAGCUUUCUAGUUGUUCUUAUUUCAACCUUUAUUAUUACUGAAGGCUUCUGGAGGUGUUGUAUAGAAUUAACUAUGUAAUAUAUUAUUUCUUUGAUUUAUCACCGAGAGGAUGAUAUUUUGAAGCCUAUCAUGCCGUCAUUAUGUGUCGCACAUACUAGUAUGUACUCACUUAUACAUGUGUUUCCUCUUUUUUCUCACAUCCUUCGUCAGUUUUCAUUAAUCGUGCCGUUCCUACAGGUGAGAGAUAAUCUCGACCCCACCUUCCCCCUGCCCUCCAGACACCCAAUGGAUCUGAUUCUGAUAGUCCCUGAACCAUAAUAAACCUCGUAGACACGCUUGACACCAAAACAAUCCAUUUGCGCCUGAGACUUAUGCAUCUCCUUUAACCUCGGUGGAACCCUUCUUCGUAACAAGGCGAAACCCACCAAACAGGAAUGCAAGUCCCUGAAGCGCCAGGAUGACGGCUAAAGCCACAAAUGCACCCACAACACCGGCCUCCGUUCUGGACAGGCCACCACUGCUACCAGAACCGGCCGAAGAUGCAUUUAGGCCAUCAUCCGCGCUGCUUCCGGCAGCGCAGCGCUCUGGAGUCGCGUUGCAAGCUUUGCAGAAUUCCUCCUCUGAGGAAAUGGCAAUCUGCUUCAUGUUGGACUCGAAUUCAGACCACGGCAUGAGCGUUUUCGAUUGACCGAAGAGCGGGUAUGCGGCCGGCUGGGUGUCAGGGGAGUUGGGGACUACGCUGCCAUUGCGGAAGAGAAAGCGGACGCUGAUGUCGGAUCGGCUGGGGAAUGGAUCAGACGGCGAGGUCGUCGCGUUGGUCACCAGCUCAAAUGCCAUGCUUGACGCGUAGUCCGGAAUGCCGGUGAAUUCAGGCUUCGUCUCUGCGAGCUUUGUGAGGCCGAAGAAGGAAAGGAAGAUAGCGUAGGCACCAAAUUGGACGCUGAGUUUGGCCUUCGCACCAGCCGUGUCGAUUAGCUCAUUGAAGCUGGAGAGCACUUCACCAGCCAAGAGCGAGCCACUAACUGCCCGGAUAGGGGAGGUUGCGUUGUACGCAAGGUUGAAUUCAUAUAUGUUUGCCAGAUCCUGGAGACGGGUAAAUGUUUCCUUCGACGGCAGUUUGUCAUCUGGCAGUGAGUCGGUUGUGUUAUGGAUCCUGGCAACGUUAAGGAGAUCGAAGACCAAGUACGCAUUCCCGAAGUUAACCUUUGAUUCUGGAAAUGUCCGCCCCACCAUGGGUGCGACGGACUUGUAGAAACCGGCAGUCGACUGGAGCAGCUCCUGGAACUCCUUCGAUUGACGGUACUCGCUGCUGCUGACCUUGGCUUUUUGACACUUGGUUGCGCUUUGCAGCCAGGCCACAUUCUCGCUGUUGCCGCCUGUUGACACUUGCUCGACAGCAAUGAGCUGAUACCCGUUCAUAGGAGCCUCGACGACAGUGCCAUUGCGAAGAGUGGAAGUGGCAACAUUGCCAACGGGCGGGUAGACAGCUUGCAAGAACCCAAUAGCGGAUUUCUGCAGCACCUCGUCCUCGGGUGCAGAUGCUAGGAGCUGGUGUGGUUGUACAAUGUCUGGGCUUAUACCGAGGAUGCGCGAGUCGGAUGAAGCCGCGAUAUAGCGAUUAUGAUAGUAAGAGCCAGUGUUGAAUACCUGCUGGUAGCCCAAAGUGGUUAACUCGGUGGGAGGCGUAGAUUUUGACGUGCGGUCUCCAUGGCGGGCAAAGACAUAGACUCCCAAUACUGUCUCUGCAGAAGCCUGCAGGCCAAAAACGGCGAGAGAUGCCAGGGCCAACAUCGCCGAGGAAAGUUGUAUGGGCUGGGAGCGCAUGACGGCAAGCUGACUCUAGGUUGCGGGGUACGGUGUGAUGCAAUUGGGUUCUCGCGCCUGGAAGAGGAUUGAAUGCCUAGGGCUAGGGAGUAUUAUCGGCGAAAGAAGGGAGUGGAAGAACGAGCAGAAGAACGAGCAGAAGAACGAGGUGAGCCAGAAUGUACGGGAAGGGUGACCAAGCGAAUGUUUUAUGUUGCCAGGAACCAUGUCACAGAGAAAGCAAACGAGGAGA
rnacentral:sRNA from 1 species